CAAAAUCACACUGAAAACACCGGUUGACAUUCAGUUAUUGAAGUUAAGCAGCAUAGAGCCUAAUCAGUACUUAGAUGGGUGACCACUUAGGAAUAUUGGGUGCUGUAGGC